rnacentral:rRNA from 1 species
AUGGAGACGCCGAACAGCCUCGCGUCCGUAUCCGGCCCGCCGUCGACGGCGAGGCCGGCGGCCGUGGCCAGCGCCGAGCAGGAUGGCAUCAGGUCCAGUAUCCCCGCGGGGAGCGGCGGCGGAGGCGCCAGCGCCGACUCACCCGAGCAGUUUACUACGGACGACAGCGACCCGGGGCCGCCGUCCGGCUGCUGGCUCGAGGCGAACUUGGACAUGAGGCUCACGAUGUUGUUGCACAGCUUUUUCAUCUGCCCCAGCUCGCGGGUCAACCGCGCGUUAUCCCGCCGCAGCCGGUCGUUCUCCUCGCCCAUGUCGCCGGACGAGGAGCCCGCGGCGGCGCCGCCCAGGCCGGAGCCUGAGCCGGACGGUGCGGCCAGCGGGAGCUCCUCCGCGGAUCCCGAGUUGGACGACAGAACCUGCUCCUCGGAGGACAGCUGCGGCUCCGGCGAGCCGGAGCGCGUAACCGGCAGCGCCAUAGGGAUCGCUGCAGUGGCAACCGUGACCGCGCCAGCCGCGGCGGCGGCAGCAGCAGCCGCAAGACCCGCCGACUGGACCACCUUCCGGCGGUGUAUGUCGCAGAGCAGGCGCUUCUCGCCUCGCCGGAAGCAGUCGUUGGCGAACUCCCACCGGUCCGGCACGAUCUUCCUAAAUCCCUAUACGCCACAGCAAGCAAAAUCCAAGGAUGAACAACAUGGGCAUUCCACGCCAAAAAUUCCAGAAAGGCCAAAUCCCAACCCGAGCCCGAGGAAUCAACCAACCGAACCCAUGGAGCGAGCGCACGUACGUAGGUGUUGA